rnacentral:rRNA from 1 species
AGAACGAACGCUGGCGGCAGGCUUAACACAUGCAAGUCGAACGCCCUAGCAAUAGGGAGUGGCGCACGGGUGAGUAACGCGUGGGAAUAUACCUUUUAGUGGGGGAUAACUCCGGGAAACUGGAGCUAAUACCGCAUACGCCCGAGAGGGGAAAGAUUUAUCGCUAAAAGAUUAGCCCGCGUGAGAUUAGGUAGUUGGUGGGGUAAUGGCCUACCAAGCCGACGAUCUCUAGCUGGUCUGAGAGGAUGAUCAGCCACACUGGAACUGAGACACGGUCCAGACUCCUACGGGAGGCAGCAGUGGGGAAUAUUGGACAAUGGGCGAAAGCCUGAUCCAGCCAUGCCGCGUGAAUGAUGAAGGCUUUAGGGUUGUAAAGUUCUUUCACCGAUGAAGAUAAUGACGGUAGUCGGAGAAGAAGCCCCGGCUAACUUCGCGCCAGCAGCCGC